rnacentral:lncRNA from 8 species
CGUUACUUCUUUACAGUGUCAGGUAUUAUUAAAUAUCAGGCUCUCCUUCUUUACAGUGUCAGGUACUAUAAAAUAUCAGGCUCUCCUUCUUUACAGUGUCAGGUGUUAUCAAAUAUCAGGCUCUCCUUCUUUACAGUGUCAGGUACUAUUAAAUAUCAGGGUCUCCUUCUUUACAGUGUCAGGUGUUAUCAAAUAUCAGGCUCUCCUUCGUUACAGUGUCAGGUACUAUCAAAUAUCAGGCUCUCCUUCUUUACAGUGUCAGGUACUAUCAAAUAUCAGGCUCUCCUUCUUUACAGUGUCAAGUACUAUCAAAUAUCAGGCUCUCCUUCUUUAGUGUCAGGUGUUAUCAAAUAUCAGGCUCUCCUUCUUUACAGUGUCAGGUGUUAUCAAAUAUCAGGCUCUCCUUCUUUACAGUGUCAGGUGUCAUCAAAUAUCAGGCUCUCCAUCUUUACAGUGUCAGGUGUUAUCAAAUAUCAGGCUCUCCUUCUUUACAGUGUCAGGUACUAUCAAAUAUCAGGCUCUCCUUCUUUACAGUGUCAGGUACUAUCAAAUAUCAGGCUCUCCUUCUUUACAGUGUCAGGUGUUAUCAAAUAUCAGGCUCUCCUUCUUUACAGUGUCAGGUGUUAUCAAAUAUCAGGCUCUCCAUCUUUACAGUGUCAGGUGUUAUCAAAUAUCAGGCUCUCCUUCUUUACAGUGUCAGGUGUUAUAAAAUAUCAGGCUCUCCUUCUUUACAGUGUCAGGUGUUAUCAAAUAUCAGGCUCUCCUUCUUUACAGUGUCAAGUGCUAUCAAAUAUCAGGGUCUCCUUCUUUACAGUAUCAGGUGUUAUCAAAUAUCAGGCUCGCCUUCUUUACAGUGUCAGGUGCUAUCAAAUAUCAGGCUCUCCUUCUUUACAGUGUCAGGUAGUAUCAAAUAUCAGGCUCUCCUUCUUUACAGUGUCAGGUACUAUCAAAUAUCAGGCUCUCCUUCUUUACAGUGUCAGGUGCUAUCAAAUAUCUGGGUCUCAGAGGAAUGGCAGUGUUUUGAUCAUCUGUCUUUUCUCCUGCUUAGAGAGGUUUCCUGACAAAUGGUGCUGUGACCAUGGCUACAAACAUGGUAGUGUUCCAUUGAGUUGCUAA